GCCAUGUCGCUUCCGAAGACCACCGGUGUCGAAUACUGGACUCAGCGCUGGGCGAACCACAUCAUUCCUUUCCACAGACCUUCAGUUCAUCCGUAUCUUAAAGAAAUUGAAGAUGAAUUCACCGCCGCCAACAAGAAACUCCGUGUAUUCAUUCCCAUGUGCGGGAAAAUGCGUGAAAUUAAAUGGUUCUAUGAGAGGGGCC